rnacentral:lncRNA from 1 species
CGGUCGAAGGCUUAAUAGUCCCAUUUUAGUUGGGUUGGUGGCCUCUUUAGGCUUGUAAAUAAAGGUUGUGUCAUGUGGACACGUGCGAGAGAUUUUCGAUCUGUAAUGGACCAUUUUACCCUUUGUUGUGCCACUGUUCAGAGCUUAUAAAGUCUGUUUAUAAUUUGCAUUGUCUAUGAAGUAUUUUUCGGAGAUGUUUG